rnacentral:lncRNA from 1 species
GAAUAAUUAGCUUUCUAUGAUACUCGUUGUCCCCCUCUGUUGGUCUUGUGGGAUAUUUCCUCGUUGAAGAACGUCCAACUGAAGACGUAUGACGCAAAAUGCGGAAGUGAGCCUGGUAGCAGGUGUUUGCUUAUUUUUGUCGGUGGAGGAGGCAUCACGAGUGAUAAUACUACAGAAAGUGGAACCAAAGAUACUGAUCCUACACGUGCAACAAAAAGGUUCACGACCUCCUGGUAUCAAAAGUCUGCUUCCUGUCAUUGCUUGACUUGAGGUUUGUUUAGCUGUCUUAUUUGGAGGUAUUGUAUAGCUAACUACACACUAAGUUAGGAAGUUUGAGCUGGCUGCAGUUGUUAGGAUUGUAAUGAGGUAAGGCAGCCGGGAGAAGUUUUUAUCACGCCCUGUCUUGGACAAUCCUCUUAUAACGCUACAAGGUCAGUCCUUGUUGAUGUCUCAGCUAAGCUUCUUCUUCCUGACAGAGGAGUUUAGCUUGACAACAAUAUGCCUGCCCUGUGCCUGGAUAUCACAUAUGUUGUUAAUACCUGUGAUUGAUUCCGGCCUAAUGUUUAAAUGGCUAUAGCUUAUUUCGAAAUACACUGAACAAAAAUAUAAACGCAACAUGCAACAAUUUCAAAUAGUUACAGUUCAUCUAAGGAAUCAGUCAAUUUAAAUUAAUUAGUGCUUAAUCUAUGGAUUUCACAUGACUGGGAAUAGAGAUAUGCAUCUGUUGGUCACGGAUAUCUUUUUUUUUAAGUAGGGGAGUGGAUCAGAAAACCAGUCAGUAUCUGGUUUGACCAUUUGCCUCAUGCAGCGUGACACAUCCCAGCAUUUACCUCAUGCAGCGCGACAGAUCUCCUUCUCAUAGAGUUGAUCGGGCUGUUGAUUGUGGCCUGUGGAAUGUUGUCCCACUCCUCUUUAAUGGCUGUGCGAAGUUCCUAGAUAUUGUCUGGAAGUGGAACACGCUGUCAUACACAUCAAUCUAGAGUAUCGUCUACAUGAUCAAUGGGUGACGUCUGGUGAGUAUGGCCAUGAACUGGGACAUUUUCAGUUUCCAGGAA